rnacentral:rRNA from 1 species
UUCUGGUUGAUCCUGCCGGACCCGACUGCUAUCAGAGUGAGAUUAAGCCAUGCGAGUUAACGUMGCAAURCGUGGCGCACGGCUCAGUAACACGUAGUCAACAUGCCCAGAGGACGUGGAUAACCUCGGGAAACUGAGUCUAAACCGCGAUAAGUGAGGGAUUUCUGGAAUGGUUCCUGACUAAAAUCUAUAUGGCCUCUGGAUUGGACUGCGGCCGAUCAGGCUGUUGGUGAGGUAAUGGCCCACCAAACCUGUAACCGGUACGGGCUCUGAGAGGAGGAGCCCGGAGAUGGGCACUGAGACAAGGGCCCAGGCCCUAUGGGGCGCAGCAGGCGCGAAACCUCUGCAAUAGGCGAAAGCCUGACAGGGUUACUCUGAGUGACUUUCGCUAAGAAAGUCUUUUGGCACCUCUAAAAAGGGUGCAGAAUAAGGGGUGGGCAAGUCUGGUGUCAGCCGCCGCGGUAAUACCAGCACCCCGAGUGGUCGGGACGAUUAUUGGGCCUAAAGCAUCCGUAGCCGGUUCUGCAAGUCCYCCGUUAAAUCCASCUGCUCAACAGAUGGGCCGCGGAGGAUACUACAGAGCUAGGAGGCRGGAGAGGCAAGCGGUACUCAGUGGGUAGGGGUAAAAUCCKUUGAUCCAUUGAAGACCACCAGUGGCGAAGGCGGCUUGCCAGAAUGCGCUCGACGGUGAGGGAUGAARGCUGGGGGAGCAAACCGGAUUAGAUACCCGGGUAGUCCCAGCCGUAAACGAUGCAGACUCGGUGAUGGGUUGGCUUCGCGCYAACCCAGUGCCGCAGGGAAGCCGUUAAGUCUGCCGCCUGGGKAGUACGGUCGCAAGACUGAAACUUAAAGGAAUUGGCGGG